CAGUCGUAAAAUGUACCUAUAAAAGAUAUAAGAUGUUGUGAUUGAAAGCUAUUACUUACAACACCUUCACCAUGUUGAGAGUUACGCUGUUUUUUGUCAUCUUCUUUUCUGCAGUACUAUUAGGUUCAGCGUUGGAGAAAGGCCAGAUUUGUGUUCCUGGAACGACGUUUGUAAAAAACGGCAACAAUUGCCUUUGUAAUAAAGAUGGAACUGGAAUGUCCUGUACACCGAAAAAAGGUUAACAUUUUGAGAGCAAAAAAAAGUUGUAAUAAAUCAUUGUAUGGAUGAACAACAGA